UACGGGGGGAGCAAGCGUUGUUCGGAUUUACUGGGCGUAAAGCGCGCGUAGGCGGAUCUGCAAGUCGGGGGUGAAAUCCCGAGGCUCAACCUCGGAACUGCCUUCGAUACUGCGGGUCUCGAGUCCGGGAGAGGUGAGUGGAAUUCCUAGUGUAGAGGUGAAAUUCGUAGAUAUUAGGAGGAACACCUGCGGUGUAGACGGCUUACUGGACCAUAACUGACGCUGAGGCACGAAAGCGUGGGUAGCAAACAGG
rnacentral:rRNA from 1 species